GCAGCAUGAAUAUUUUUCUUGCGGACGGUCGAUGUGGUAGUUUAAUCAUAUUUACGCUUUGCCGAGAGAAAAUGUGCUCUUUUUUGUGCGCAUCAGCGAUCGCUAAGCCCCUGGGCCUGUGCAACGCUGCUAGCUAGCUGUAUCUUUCGUGCGGUGCGGCGUUGUUGGUCAUCGUAGUUCGGUCCAUUCGUGCUCUUUGUUCCCGGCUCAUUAGCAGCCUCUGGUACUCUCGCCGAUCUCGCAGCGGUUCACAGUGCACGGAAGAAUGUGUUGGAAAUUGUACUAUUACGUUCAUCCGCAAUUUAACAGUGUUUAUGCCGGAAGGACAGUUCGUGCAGUCGAUGCCGCCGGACCUGACACGAAGGAGCGUUUGCCGAGUAUGUCUCGAAAGGGAUGUCACGAUUUCGUGAGACGGAGGCAUCUCUGCACCACAUGGGAGCCUGUGGCAAAAUGCAGUCUGAGCAGCCCGACAAGGAAUCUGAUCUGCUUGCUUUGACAAGGUAUGGCUGGGCCUGCAGAGAAAGUGUAAGCAGACUGUGCUGUGUUGCUGAUCAGUGCUGAUCUCCACGCCUGAGUUGGUCCCACAACAUCCAGGCACCAGCGUGCUUUGCUUCAUCAUUGACAAGGUGCACGGCAAGCUCUCACUCAAGCAACACAUUCCAGUGGUCUUCUGUCAACAGACUGGGUGUAUUGAAGUACCAUUACAAGGUCCAAUAAACAACGCUUGCGAGAUGUGUGACGUGCUCUUGCUUAAAAUCGGAGGACUUCACUAUUAAUGUAAGCUUGAAUAGGUGUGCUGAAGAACCUGUGUAACAUGUACUUGUUUAUUAACAAGUACAAACCAUUACCUCACCUGACAUUUUUUUUCACCUCAACAUAACUCUUUACUGUAGAUUUCUGAACAAACCAUUACAGCAACACAACACUGCAGUAAGGUCAGCACAAGUGUUCAUGCAUGAACACUUGUAUUUACAAGAAUUGUAUUUGCAUUAUUAUACUAAAUAUGAAUAUGAGGUGCGUAUCUUUUUCAGGGUGCAUACUCUCGCAGGUCGUACAAGCUCGUCAUCUUGUACGCACUCAGCUCGUAGAAACGAACUCGUUCAUAAUGUACGAGAAUCUCGUUCAGUGACAAGAACGCGAUCUCGUACACAUGUGUGCGAGAAAUGUACGCGAUGGUUGCUGCGUAGACUGUACGAGGUUCUCGUAGACUCAACGAGUUCUCGCAGACUGAACGAGUUUCUCGCACAGUCUACGGAGCAAUAAUCGCGUACACUAUUUCUCGUACAUUCUCGUUCACAUUUUUUUCAAUAGG